rnacentral:rRNA from 1 species
UUUGGAGAGUUUGAUCCUGGCUCAGGACGAACGCUGGCGGCGUGCCUAAUACAUGCAAGUCGAGCGAAGCUUAUCCUUCGGGAUAAGCUUAGCGGCGGACGGGUGAGUAACACGUAGGCAACCUACCCUCUAGACUGGGAUAACUACCGGAAACGGUAGCUAAUACCGGAUAAUUCCUUCACCCUCAUGGGCGAGGGAUGAAAGGCGGAGCAAUCUGCUACUAGAGGAUGGGCCUGCGGCGCAUUAGCUAGUUGGUGGGGUAACGGCCUACCAAGGCGACGAUGCGUAGCCGACCUGAGAGGGUGAACGGCCACACUGGGACUGAGACACGGCCCAGACUCCUACGGGAGGCAGCAGUAGGGAAUCUUCCGCAAUGGGCGAAAGCCUGACGGAGCAACGCCGCGUGAGUGAUGAAGGUUUUCGGAUCGUAAAGCUCUGUUGCCAGGGAAGAACGUCCGGUAGAGUAACUGCUACCGGAGUGACGGUACCUGAGAAGAAAGCCCCGGCUAACUACGUGCCAGCAGCCGCGGUAAUACGUAGGGGGCAAGCGUUGUCCGGAAUUA